GAUAAACGCUGGCGGCGCACAUAAGACAUGCAAGUCGAACGGACUUAACCAUUAGUUUACUAUUGGAGCGGUUAGUGGCGGACUGGUGAGUAACGCGUAAGUAACCUGCCUAUCAGAGGGGAACAACAGUUAGAAAUGACUGCUAAUACCGCAUAUGCCAUAGUCAUCGCAUGGUGACAGUGGGAAAGGAGAAAUCCGCUGAUAGAUGGACUUGCGACUGAUUAGAUAGUUGGUGGGGUAAAGGCCUACCAAGUCGACGAUCAGUAGCCGAACUGAGAGGUUAAACGGCCACAUUGGGACUGAGAUACGGCCCAG
rnacentral:rRNA from 1 species